rnacentral:rRNA from 1 species
AACGGACGCUGGCGGCAUGCCUAACACAUGCAAGUCGAACGAGACCUUCGGGUCUAGUGGCGCACGGGUGCGUAACGCGUGGGAAUCUGCCCUUGGGUUCGGAAUAACUCGCCGAAAGGCGUGCUAAUACCGGAUGAUGUCGUAAGACCAAAGAUUUAUCGCCCAGGGAUGAGCCCGCGUAAGAUUAGGUAGUUGGUGGGGUAAAGGCUCACCAAGCCGACGAUCUUUAGCUGGCCUGAGAGGAUGAUCAGCCACACUGGAACUGAGACACGGUCCAA